AUUGAACGCUGGCGGCAGGCCUAACACAUGCAAGUCGAGCGGAUGAAGGGAGCUUGCUCCUGGAUUCAGCGGCGGACGGGUGAGUAAUGCCUAGGAAUCUGCCUGGUAGUGGGGGAUAACGUCCGGAAAGGGGCGCUAAUACCGCAUACGUCCGGAGGGAGAAAGGGGGGGAUCUUCGGACCUCACGCUAUCAGAUGAGCCUAGGUCGGAUUAGCUAGUUGGUGGGGUAAAGGCCUACCAAGGCGACGAUCCGUAACUGGUCUGAGAGGAUGAUCAGUCACACUGGAACUGAGACACGGUCCAGACUCCUACGGGAGGCAGCAGUGGGGAAUAUUGGACAAUGGGCGAAAGCCUGAUCCAGCCAUGCCGCGUGUGUGAAGAAGGUCUUCGGAUUGUAAAGCACUUUAAGUUGGGAGGAAGGGCAGUAAGUUAAUACCUUGCUGUUUUGACGUUACCAACAGAAUAAGCACCGGCUAACUUCGUG
rnacentral:rRNA from 1 species